rnacentral:lncRNA from 1 species
GCAAAGAUCAGCUUCAAUAUUAUAACACUUUACCUAAGAUUUAUAAAGAGCCCUGCCUUACCUGAGAUAAGGCUCUGCCUCCCAUCUUAUUACAUGUCAGAAUGACUGACUACACAGUCAGCCAGACUUCAGUUAAAGUGCAGUACUCUUAAUUUAAGACUGGUGAGACUGACUUGCUGGAUAUUUAAGAUGAAGACUUAAAUUAAAAGGUCUAAAUUAACCAAUAUUUGGCUCUUACCCUCUGAGUCAGUCUGAAUACAGGGAACAGGGAACUUCUCUAAAGAGCUUUUCAACUCUGGGCCACAUAACCUCCUGAUCAGGGAGAUCAAUGAGAUCACUGGAGAAUGAAAAGCCAAUCAGUGCACUUGCUGUGAAUAGGAAGGUCAUUGGAGAAAGGAGACAUCCCUGAUGCUUCCAAGGGAAGCCACAUGGUCAAGCAAGACUUGGAUCCAUCCUAGUACAAAUGGCACUAGCAGAACUAAGAAGCUGCUCUCAAGUUCUCCCACGAGUGACCCCUAUGGAAACUUGGCUGACUCUUAACAAUAGAUAGAAACAAAGUCAAUUUUGCCCAGUUUGAUCUUAAACACCUAACAAAAUCAGUUAAACCCAAACACAGUCAUUCCUGGGGGUAAUGAAGGACAAGAACAGCUAGAAAAGAGGAGACAGUAGCAAGGCCAACAGUCUCCAUGGGGAAUGUUCAGUCAAGUAUGGCCUUGGCUCCUCCCCAUCAUAGGGCCCCUAUUAGUCCUCUUUAUGUUUCUCCUAAUAGGACCAUGUCUAUUAAAUUGCCUACAGAAGUUCCUACAAGAUCAGAUGUGGGGAGCCACUCUGAAUGAUUAGCAUCUUCUGUCUUAGAGCGGAAGGCCUUGACCAUCACUACAUUUUGUAGUGACUUGAACAUUGCUCCCAUUUUGGAAGUUUAAGGAUGCGUCUUCAGACGUAGGAUCUGCACUACAGCCCUUGGGUUCAAUUACACCCACAUGUUCCUUGUAACUCCACUCCUUCUUACCUUUUUUGGGUGGAACUUUCUAAGAAUGAGGGUCCUGCUAAUAAAAGCCCACUUCUGAAUGUACUUGCACUCUCUUUCUCACCAGUCUCUCAUGAGUAUCCCUCGCUCUCCCAUUUGGGGACCUUGAGGUUGAGAGCGGAGGAACCAUCCUGAAGCUUGCUUAAAGGUAAAGUGUGUGUCUAUUUUAUCUGGUGUCCCUAGAAAUUCAC